CAACUACUCCCUCUGUCCCAAAUUUCUUGUCUUAGAUUUGUCUAGAUACGGAUGUAUCUAAUACUAAAAUGUGACUUGAUACAUCCGUAUCUAGACAAAUCUAAGACAAGAAUAUUGGGAUGGAGGGAGUACUUU
rnacentral:pre_miRNA from 1 species